UCUUUUUGUUAAGUUGGACACAGAAUCUAUGAUACUGGUCAUAUCGAAUCAUGUUCAUAGAACAAAGGUCUUCGCCUGAGUCAGGUAGUAGAUAAUAUAAUGAAAAUACAAAAAUUCAAGUCCUGUAAAUACAUCGGGUGCAUGGCAUGUUCAGUAGAACUGUGUAUUCAAAUUAGCUAGGAAUGUGCAUGAUGUCAUUGUAAGGAUUUCAGCAGUAACUCCUUUAAGUUGUCCCCAGGAUUUUCUAAUUAUGGUUAAAAUGCUGUAUCUUAGAGAAAACAAAUCAUGCAGAACAAAUUCUUGGCAAAACAAAGGGUCCAGAUAGAGUCAAAAUUACAAUUGCAAUGAACAAAAGAUCAUUCUUUCUCAACGGACCCGACGAGCUUUCUCUUCCUGCCCUAACCCAAGUGAUUUCUGUGCAUUUGCAAUACCUUCAGGAUCAAAGAACUGAGUAAAGAUGCGGGUGAAGAAGCUCAAGUUGCGAGAAACAUUAUAUGCCAUAGCAGGUGGAAGAGGCUUCACAAUGGUGUCAAUGCUAAAUACUCUCUGAAGAAACUGAAAAUUGCGCUGGAAGCUGUACCGGAGCUCGGGGUCGAGCUCAAGGGGAUCGUCUUCGUCAGAGUCAUCUUCAUUGGAGCGGCGCUUGUUGUUCUUUUUGCGAGGGACGUGCAUAGUAGGGGUGGAGCCGGGCUGAUUGGUGACCUUGAGCUUGGCGUCUUUGAAUUUUUCGGCCUCGUCGUCAUCGUCACCUCUCCAUGGCGCUUUUGAUAGCAAUUCCCUCUUUCCCUUCGCCAUUUCGCAGAUGAUUAUAGGUUUCUGUGGCAGCUCCGUCGGUUUCCGUCCCGCUAUGCGAAUAGUGGUGUGUAGACUACCGUCAGCCGAGAGUGUGAAAGAUAAGGAUUACCGCGGAAAUGCUAGCGG
rnacentral:misc_RNA from 1 species